ACGGGGCCGCACAAGCGGUGAGUAUGUGGUUUAAUUCGACGCAACGCGCAGAACCUUACCUAGACUUGACAUCCCGGGGAUUUUCUGGAAACAGAGAAGUGCUUUAGCAAUAAAGAACCCGGUGACAGGUGCUGCAUGGCUGUCGUCAGCUCGUGUCGUGAGAUGUUGGGUUAAGUCCCGCAACGAGCGCAACCCUCGCCCUUUAGUUGCCAGCAUUCAGUUGGGCACUCUAGAGGGACUGCCGGUGUCAAACCGGAGGAAGGUGGGAUGACGUCAAGUCCUCAUGGCCUUUAUGUCUAGGGCUACACACGUACUACAAUGGCCGGUACAAAGGGCAGCCACUCAGCGAUGAGGCGCUAAUCCCAUAAAGCCGGUCUCAGUCCGGAUCGCAGUCUGCAACUCGACUGCGUGAAGUUGGAAUCGCUAGUAAUCGUAGAUCAGCAUGCUACGGUGAAUACGUUCCCGGGCCUU
rnacentral:rRNA from 1 species